AUGGAUCCGUCUCAAGCGGCAUCAGCAUUCUUCACCUUCGUCCACUUCGCUGAACCAUACAAUAACCUUCGACUGCGACCGCGAGGAAGAACGGCGGAGUUGCGUGUACUCAUGUACUUCUUUCACUUCUUCUUCCCUCUGUGUGUGUGUUUUGAUGUGGUUGUUGUUGUAGAUUUAUGCUGA